rnacentral:rRNA from 1 species
GCUUACGACCAUACCACGGUGAAUAUGCGGUAUCCCGUCGGAUCCGCAAGUCAAGCACCGUUGAGGUGGGGUAGUUGGAUCGGAGACGGCCUGGGAAUUCCCAAUGUCGCACGCA